GACGAACGCUGGCGGCGUGCCUAAUACAUGCAAGUCGAACGAAGCUGUUUUAACUGGUGCUUGCACAGACUUAAACAACUGAGUGGCGAACGGGUGAGUAACACGUGGGUAACCUGCCCCAAAGCGGGGGAUAACAUUUGGAAACAGAUGCUAAUACCGCAUAACCACAGAAACCACAUGGUUUCUGUGUCAAAGAUGGUGUCGGCUAUCACUUUGGGAUGGACCCGCGGCGUAUUAGCUAGUUGGUAAGGUAAUGGCUUACCAAGGCAAUGAUACGUAGCCGAACUGAGAGGUUGAUCGGCCACAUUGGGACUGAGACACGGCCCAAACUCCUACGGGAGGCAGCAGUAGGGAAUCUUCCACAAUGGACGAAAGUCUGAUGGAGCAACGCCGCGUGAGUGAAGAAGGUUUUCGGAUCGUAAAACUCUGUUGUCAGAGAAGAACGUGUGCGAGAGUAACUGCUCGUGCAGUGACGGUAUCUGGCCAGAAAGCCACGGCUAACUACGUGCCAGCAGCCGCGGUAA
rnacentral:rRNA from 1 species